AUUGAACGCUGGCGGCAGGCCUAACACAUGCAAGUCGAGCGGAGCGCCGGUGGGGGGAGUAAUGCCUAGGAAUCUGCCUGGGAGUGGGGGAUAACGAUCAGAAACGGGCGCUAUAACCGCAUACUAUCAGAUGAGCCUAGGUCGGAUUAGCUAGUGGGUGGGGUAAAGGCCUACCAAGGCGACGAUCCGUAACUGGUCUGAGAGGAUGAGCAGUCACACUGGAACUGAGACACGGUCCAGACUCCUACGGGAGGCAGCAGUGGGGAAUAUUGGACAAUGGGCGAAAGCCUGAUGCAGCCAUGCCGCGGGUGUGAAGAAGGUCUUCGGAUUGUAAAGCACUUUAAGUUGGGAGGCGUUACCAGCAGAAUAAGCACCGGCUAACUACGUGCCAGCAGCCGCGGUAAUUC
rnacentral:rRNA from 1 species